AUUGAACGCUGGCGGCAGGCUUAACACAUGCAAGUCGAGCGGGGUGAUGGUGCUUGCACUAUCACUUAGCGGCGGACGGGUGAGUAAUGCUUAGGAAUCUGCCUAUUAGUGGGGGACAACAUCUCGAAAGGGAUGCUAAUACCGCAUACGUCCUACGGGAGAAAGCAGGGGAUCACUUGUGACCUUGCGCUAAUAGAUGAGCCUAAGUCGGAUUAGCUAGUUGGUGGGGUAAAGGCCUACCAAGGCGACGAUCUGUAGCGGGUCUGAGAGGAUGAUCCGCAACACUGGGACUGGGACACGGCCCAGACUCCGACGGGAGGUAGCAGUGGGGAAUAUUGGACAAUGGGGGAAACCCUGAUCCAGCCAUGCCGCGUGUGUGAAGAAGGCCUUAUGGUUGUAAAGCACUUUAAGCGAGGAGGAGGCUACUGAGACUAAUACUCUUGGAUAGUGGACGUUACUCGCAGAAUAAGCACCGGCUAACUCUGUGCCAGCAGCCGCCGUAA
rnacentral:rRNA from 1 species